AAAGUAGUUUUUUUAGUACAUUAUAUUUUUAUAACAGUGAUUGUUUUUAGAACAACUAUUGUUUUAUUUUUCAGAACAAUUCGAAGCAAUAGAAGACCUAUUUAACAGACAGAUAGAUCUCAGUAUUGUUUCAGCAACUUUUACAAAUGGUGAUGUCUUUUAUUUUAUUAAACAAGAAGAGAGAUUUAUUUGAAUAUUUAUUGUUUACUUGAAC